UACAGAGGGUGCAAGCGUUAAUCGGAAUUACUGGGCGGAAAGCGUGCGUAGUCGGUUAUCUAAGUCGGGUGUGAAAUCCCCGGGCUCAACCUGGGAAUUGCAUUCGAUACUGGAUAGCUAGAGUUCGGCAGAGGGAAGCGGAAUUCCCGGUGUAGCGGUGAAAUGCGUAGAUAUCGGAAGGAACAUCAGUGGCGAAAGCGGCUUCCUGGACCAGAACUGACGAUCAGGCACGAAAGCGUGGGGAGCAAACAGG
rnacentral:rRNA from 1 species